UGCGCAGGCGGAAUGAUUAGUCAGUGGUGAAAGCCCUCGGCUCAACCGAGGAACUGCCAUUGAUACUGUCAUUCUUGAGUACAGUUGUAGUGGGCGGAAUGUGUCAUGUAGCGGUGAAAUGCAUAGAGAUGACACAGAACACCGAUCGCGAAGGCAGCUCACUAAGCUGAAACUGACGCUCAGGCACGAAGGCGUGGGUAGCAAACAGGAUUAGAUACCCUGGUAGUCC
rnacentral:rRNA from 1 species